CAUGCAAGUCGAGCGCCCCGCAAGGGGAGCGGCAGACGGGUGAGUAACGCGUGGGAAUCUACCCAUCUCUACGGAACAACUCCGGGAAACUGGAGCUAAUACCGUAUACGUCCUUCGGGAGAAAGAUUUAUCGGAGAUGGAUGAGCCCGCGUUGGAUUAGCUAGUUGGUGGGGUAAUGGCCUACCAAGGCGACGAUCCAUAGCUGGUCUGAGAGGAUGAUCAGCCACACUGGGACUGAGACACGGCCCAGACUCCUACGGGAGGCAGCAGUGGGGAAUAUUGGACAAUGGGCGAAAGCCUGAUCCAGCCAUGCCGCGUGAGUGAUGAAGGCCUUAGGGUUGUAAAGCUCUUUCAGUGGGGACGAUAAUGACGGUACCCACAGAAGAAGCCCCGGCUAACUUCGUGCCAGCAGCCGCGGUAAUACGAAGGGGGCUAGCGUUGUUCGGAAUUACUGGGCGUAAAGCGCAUGCAGGCGGAUCGCUAAGUCAGGGGUGAAAGCCCGAGGCUCAACCUCGGAACUGCCUUUGAUACUGGCGAUCUUGAGUCCGGGAGAGGUGAGUGGAACUCCGAGUGUAGAGGUGAAAUUCGUAGAUAUUCGGAAGAACACCAGUGGCGAAAGCGGCUCACUGGCCCGGUACUGACGCUGA
rnacentral:rRNA from 1 species